AAAGGGAGACCUAAUUCAGGUAGGAGACGAAAAAAAAGUAGUCGCUACCAAGAAUCAAUCCCAAAAGGUCGGAGCGAGGCGAAAUUGGCUUUCAAACUAGGUUCUGGGUUCACACAAGACCUGAAUCAGGAACAAGGGCUAUUAGCUCAGGUGGUUAGAGCGCACCCCUGAUAAGGGUGAGGUCCCUGGUUCGAGUCCAGGAUGGCCCACCUGCACAAGUGGCAAAAACAAGAGAAGCUCCGAAUCAGCACCUUAUCUUACUGACAUAGUAAGAGAGAAUGCUGGCUCUGAGUAAAGAGUCCAGAGGAACCUUAAAAACUGCAUAGAGCUAGGUGAAAAAGCCAAAAAAGAAGACCGCAAG
rnacentral:tRNA from 1 species